rnacentral:rRNA from 1 species
UACGAAGGGGGCUAGCGUUGCUCGGAAUUACUGGGCGUAAAGCGCACGUAGGCGGCGUUCUAAGUCGGGGGUGAAAUCCUGGAGCUCAACUCCAGAACUGCCUUCGAUACUGGAGAGCUUGAGUCCGGGAGAGGUGAGUGGAACUGCGAGUGUAGAGGUGAAAUUCGUAGAUAUUCGCAAGAACACCAGUGGCGAAGGCGGCUCACUGGCCCGGUACUGACGCUGAGGUGCGAAAGCGUGGGGAGCAAACAGG